UGAAUGGGGAGCUCAUGAAUCUGCAAACUGAGAAGCACUUUCCCCAUAUCUCGGGCCCGCCCGCAGAACCGUGAGCGGGGGAGGCCUGCGGGCCUCAAGGAAACCAGGUCUGAGAGGACAGGUUUGUGGGAAAGGUUUCAACUGUGUGGGUCUCAAGACAGCUGAGCAAGAAAGCGCUUCUACGCAUAGAAGACACAAAGAGCUGGCUGUUCUAGAGGCCCCAGCUGCCCUAGAGGCCCGACUGCCGGUGAGCUGCCUGGGCGAGCAGCGCUGUCCCUGAGACCGGCAGGUACCUAGAUCACUGGUUCUUCAUUUCUUUGGAGUCACGGACCUUCAAUCAUCUGAUGAUCUUCCCAAGAAAAUGUGCUUUGGCACAUCGAAAGCAGUUUGAAGACAGCUCAAGGAUGUGUAUGGAGCCACCGAACCCGUCACUAACCCCAGGUGGAAAUCGCCAGAUCUGAAUGGAUCCAACGCAAUUCCUAGGUUGAGAAAAAGGAAUCACAAAACUCAGGAAGUGGGAGCCAGUGAGUUCAAUACCUGCGCAUAAGAACCUGCUAGCUCUGAUCCCAAGCACUCAAGCAACAGUAUCAGGGGCAUCUGGAAUAUGUUUAAAGCACAGUGUCCCCUCCCAGGGAGGGUUAAAUGCUGUCAUCGGGCCGCACUAGGUACAGGAGAGCAUGCCUUUAUGCUGUCUUGAUGAGGUGCUCUCAUGAAUCUAGAUUCUGCAACCUUAGAAUAAACACCACCCUGUGGAAAAUGUCCCCAGACCACUGAGAAGCAGCGGGCACACCAAGCCCCGUGAAUGCGGAAGCAGAGCUGUGGUAGGAGUCACACAGGGCAGGGCGGCAAGGGGAGAUUGAGGCAGAGUCAGGAAGACGCCAGGGUUUGAGAAGUGUUUUUUCCAGCUUGGAAAUGAGAAAGGUGGCACGGGAAUCUAAGAAACCAAAAGCAAAGGCAAAACAACCAUUUGCAGGAAGUCUUUGAGCCCUAACGCCUCACUGCCACCUCAGACUCUCAUGGAAUGGAUUUCCGCCCCUUGGAGAAACUGUCGCUGUGACUGACCUACUUUUUCACAGGAAAGAUAUGUUCACUGAAGUAUUCGUCUCCCUUAACUGAGUGUUCUCUUUAGAUCCUUCUUUCUGUAACUCUGACAGAGCCGCGCCGUGUAAGAGGACACAUUGCCUAAGCAGAGUGACCUGUGCCAGGCUGUCCUAUAGAACUUCCUGUGAUGAUGGACGUGUCCUGUACCCGUGCUGUCCAGGACGACAGCCACCGGCCACAUAUGUCUGUCAAACACUUGAAAUGUGGCUGCUGACAUGACUGAGGAAUGAAUUUGAAAUUUUAUUUAAUUUUAAUUAAUUUAAGCUUAGCCAUGUGUAGCGAGGGGCCAUAGACCAGACCAAUGCAUCCUGAAUCAAAAGGUCCCUAGUCAUAUCGUGAAAGUGAAAAAAAAAGCAAAUUGCAGUGUUCACUGUUUAGUAUAACUCCCUUUUUGAAAAUACACUCACCCAAACGAAACAAUACGUUUACGUUGACGCAUUUACAUGCUUUCAGAUGCACACGAAGAUGAAGAUGACUGAGCCACCCAGAGGACCGAUCGAGUGACGGCCUCCGCGGGGGAGGGAAGAGGAGGCCGAGGAGGCCUUUGGCUUUUUCAGCUUUGUCUGAAUUUUUAAAAUUUAUUCAUGUAUGACUUGUGUAAUGCGACAU